CUGACUUCAACUUGUCAUAUUAUGAAGGGUUAUAAUAAUUUCAUAUAAUUUCAUAUAACAAUUCAUUUCAUAGAGAGAGAAUGAAAUGUCUCCAUGAUUUGAAAAUUUUUCUUCUCAUGAUAGUCUUUGUUUUCUUUUUGUUUUUCAUUUCAGCUCCAAUCACUUUGCAAGAAAUUCUCAUAGGUAGAAUUAUAUAUAUAGGUGCAUUGUCUACAUGCACCUACUGGAUGGAUCAUACACAUACAGCUGUUUAACAGCUCCAUCAGUUUUCUUUUUAACUAGUUGUACCCUUACUUUCAUGAGCUUU
rnacentral:misc_RNA from 1 species